rnacentral:lncRNA from 1 species
GUUUUGUUUUUUGGUACCAGGGAUCAAACUUGGGACCUUGUGCUUGCGAGGCAGGUGACGGCACUGGGUUGAUACUUUGAAGUUGCUUAUUGGUUGAACUCUGCAAAGUUCUGUUGCAGGUUCCAGCUGCCUUUCCCCUGAAGAUAGUCCAGGUUCCGAUGCAAGAUGGUGAUCCCUCCAACUUACCAAUGAGAAUGACUGUCUGGAAUGGUGUCUGGGAACUUCUGAAAGCUCCCCAAGAGAGACCAACUCUCAGCCGAGGCUCAGGACCACGGCUCUGGGGAUAGUGUGUGCAUCCCACAGUAUGGAAAGCUGACAGAAGACAUGGAUUGUUGGUCUUAGAAGAUGGGGAAUGGAGCACUCAGGAGGCUGAAGCUGGAGGAUCGAUACAAGUUCGAGGCCAGCCUGGGCUACAUAGUGAAUUCAAGACCAGCCUGAACAACAUAGUGAGACCCUGUCCAAAAAAAAAGAUGGGGAAAGUAGUUGGGAAUGAAUUAUUAAGCUGUGAUACACACACAUAUAUAUAUAUCAAUUCCCCAAAAUGACUGUAAUUUUUAUGUAUUACA